rnacentral:rRNA from 1 species
UACGGAGGGGGCUAGCGUUGUUCGGAAUUACUGGGCGUAAAGCGCGCGUAGGCGGACCUGCAAGUCGGGGGUGAAAGCCCGAGGCUCAACCUCGGAACUGCCUUCGAUACUGCGGGUCUCGAGUCCGGGAGAGGUGAGUGGAAUUCCUAGUGUAGCGGUGAAAUGCGUAGAUAUCAGGAGGAACACCGGUGGCGAAGGCGGCCCUCUGGACGGAUACUGACGCUGAGGCGCGAAAGCGUGGGGAUCAAACAGG